AUGCACGCUGGCGGCGUGCCUCAUACAUGCCAGUCGAGCGAACAGACGAGGAGCUUGCUCCUCUGACGUUAGCGGCGGACGGGUGAGUAACACGUAGAUAACCUACCUAUAAGACUGGGAUAACUUCGGGAAACCGGAGCUAAUACCGGAUAAUAUAUUGAACCGCAUGGUUCAAUAGUGAAAGACGGUUUUGCUGUCACUUAUAGAUGGAUCCGCGCCGCAUUAGCUAGUUGGUAAGGUAACGGCUUACCAAGGCGACGAUGCGUAGCCGACCUGAGAGGGUGAUCGGCCACACUGGAACUGAGACACGGUCCAGACUCCUACGGGAGGCAGCAGUAGGGAAUCUUCCGCAAUGGGCGAAAGCCUGACGGAGCAACGCCGCGUGAGUGAUGAAGGUCUUCGGAUCGUAAAACUCUGUUAUUAGGGAAGAACAAAUGUGUAAGUAACUAUGCACGUCUUGACGGUACCUAAUCAGAAAGCCACGGCUAACUACGUG
rnacentral:rRNA from 1 species